CCUCCAGAUUGGUUCAGACUGCACUUUCCUUGCUGGUAUUCAAUCAUCCUGCUAAGCCAAUAUUCCCUCAGUAGGCUCCAAGAUCUUACUGCUGGCUGCACUCAGGUCUGGGCUUAUAUCUUGCCUAGACCCAGCUUUCCUCUAGGGUUAAAUGACUCCAUAAUGAGCCCUGGCCACACCUGUAGGCUGCCUUACCACUAGCCUGCCUGCUUUUUGAGGUGGAAGGAGCAACAAGCCUCCUGCCACAGAUGCUAUGGUUAUUUGUUUUCAGAUUGGCCUCUGCCCAGUCUGAUACUCUCAACAUUAAAAAAAUAAUCUUGAUGGAAAGUGUGUGAACCCCCUGCUGGCAUCUUGAGGCUGGAAAGACUUUUCUGCACUCUAUACCCAUCCCUUCAGACAGAUUUAAACCCAAAGCUGCAGAAGAAAAAAAAGACACUUCAUCUAUAUAGUGUGUUCUACUUGGCUACUCAAACAAUGCAGCAUUUUAAAGACUGUGCCUACAGGUUAUAUUCAGAAGCAUAACACAGCAGCUGAGUGCCCAGAGCAGCAGGAUGGGUGCAAUGGCAACUUUUGGCUGCCACUGUUCCAUCAGUGUGAUCAUGCGGAUACAGCUGCAACUGAUAUCUGCCCUCCCCACCCCAUGCCUCCCCAAGUUGGCACCUGAGGAGGUUGCCUUGGUCUCCCCACCCUAAUUAUGUUAUUGGUCAUAUUACAAUACCCUUAUACUUGCAAACCCAUCUAGUUUAUCACUGCCAAAUUCUUCCCUUCAAUUAAAUGGUAUGAACCCUCUUGAUAACACAAAAACUCUUGCAGUUCCUGCAGUUUUUCACUUCUCAUUUGAUUUAUUUCCUUGAAAAUCUUUUGAUACCAAGCUGUGGGGAAAUGCAGGCACACCAGAGGAUAGGUUAAGGAGCCAGGAUGACCUAGACAGACUGGUUCUAUGGGCUGAUUAGAAUCAGAUGAGGUUCAACAGGGAAAAGUGCCACGUCCUUCAUCUGGGUAGGAAGAACCUUCACCAUAACUAUAGGAUAGGUGGUAUCCCAUUGGCUGGCACAGCAUCUGAACAGGACCUGGGGAUCACAAUUGACUGGCGAAUGAAUAUGAGCCAACAGCGCAAUGAAGUCGCCAGCAGGGCAAAUAGAACUCGGGUGUGCAUCAGGCGAUGUGUUGCUAAUAGAUCCAGAGAGGUGCUUUUCCCUCUGUACUCAGCAUUCAUAGAUUCAUAGAAGAAGGGUCAGAAGGGACCUCGUAGAUCAUCAAAUCUGAUGAAGUGCAUUGGUGCACUUCUUGACACUUCUUUCACAAGUUGUUGUAUCAAAGUGCAUUGGUGAGGCUGCAACUGGAGUACUGUGCCCAGUUUUGGCACUUCAAGAAGGAUGCAGAUAAGCUCGAGAGAAUGCAGAGAAAAGCCGCUUGCAUGAUCAGGGGCCUGGAGGAUAGACCCUAUGAGGAGAGACUCCAGGAACUGGGCUUGUUUAGUCUGAGCAAGAGGAGGCUGAGAGGUGACUUGAUAGCCACCUAUAAGUAUGUCAGGGGGGAGCACCAAGAUCUGGGGGAGCAACUCUUCAGAAAGGCACCCCUUGGGACGAUGAGGACCAAUGGUCACAAAUUAACAGAGGGAAGAUUUAGACUGGACAUAAGGAAGAACUUAUUCUCCAUAAGGGUAAUCAGAACCUGGAACACACUCCUGAAAGAGGUAGUGUGGUUGCCAUCCUUGGAGGUGAGGAGGCUGGAUAAGAAGAGGCUGGAUAAGCACCUCAUUCAUAUACUGCCUAUUGACAUGUCAAACCAGAGUACUGAAAUGAUGAGAACAGUUGGUUUGUUCAUUUUUUUUUGUAAUUUUUUUUGGGUGGUGGGGCAGAAAAUGCAGAUUCAUCAAAACUGAAACUUUUCACAGGACUAGACCGCACCCAACAGCAUUGUUUUGGGAAAGAUGGCUCAGAUCCAGGCUGGAGUUUAUGGUCAAAACUAGAAAGAGAGAGAGUUGAGGACUCAUCACAAAAUACUACAAUGUUCUAACACAGCUGAAACAUAAAAGUUUAAGAGAGACCCGUCCAGAAUAGUCAACAAUGUGUUGUGGAUGACUGAGGUCAAAGUCCCUAGUCUGAAUCGGACAGAACAAAGAUUUGCACCUGAGUUGAGGCAUUCCAUGUGUAGGAGAGACUGACAAAAGGAUGAUUAAGGAAGAUCCUACUUCAGUGGGAGAAAGGACGACUUUCAUAAACAUCCAGAUGAAUGCAUGCAAGAAAUCCAUCAAAGACAGAAACCCACAUUUUCCUGUAGAGGCACAUUUCUCCCAAAAUGACCACUCUCUGGCAAAUCUCUCAGUCCUUAUCCUCAAAGGGAAUUUACAGAACAUCUUCAAAAGACGUGCCUAUGAACUCAACUUCAUCACCACUCUGGACACGAAAAAUCACGGACUGAACAGAGACAUGAGCUAUCUUUCUCACUACAGCCUGCCUAAAUUCCAACCACACUGGGUACCCAUACCAUAAUCCACACUCCACUUAGCUUGAGAAAAGAUACUGUGUUAUCCAAAAGCUUGCUAGAAACAUCAGCCCACCUCCAAGUUGAUCUAAUAAAUGAUAUCAACUCAAACCAAAAGACUCUUUCUAUCAUAUAAAUGAUGAAAGGUUGGCUUACAGAAUAGAAUGAUUCACUGGCUACUAUGAGCCUUAAUGAUCAAUUUAUUUGCUCUAGCCAUGGCUAAGGUAAAGGUGGGGAGGAUCUCUCGGGGAAUACCAAAUCUCAUGAAUGGAUGCAAGCAUCCACAUCCUCAGCAUUCUAAUAUUAUAAAAGCCUAAGUCUAUCUGUCUGCCCCUAAUGCUUUGUUCACGCUCUGAUUGGCUGUCUCAGCAACCAAGCAGAGUACCCUACACAGACAGGAACAGGCAGCGGAGCGUCGCC